rnacentral:rRNA from 1 species
CGUAGGGGGCUAGCGUUGUCCGGAUUUAUUGGGCGUAAAGCGCGUGUAGGCGGCCGGCUAGGUCUGGUGUGAAAACUCGAGGCUCAACCUCGAGAUGUCGCCGGAAACCAGUCGGCUAGAGUCCGGAAGAGGAGAGUGGAAUUCCUGGUGUAGCGGUGGAAUGCGCAGAUAUCAGGAAGAACACCUAUGGCGAAAGCAGCUCUCUGGGACGGUACUGACGCUGAGACGCGAAAGCGUGGGGAGCGAACAGGAUUAGAUACCCUGGUAGUCCACGCCGUAAACGAUGGGCGCUAGGUGUGGGCGGUGUCGACUCCGUCCGUGCCGAAGCUAACGCAUUAAGCGCCCCGCCUGGGGAGCACGGCCGCAAGGCUA